rnacentral:rRNA from 1 species
CAAUAGCGUAUAUUUAAGUUGUUGCAGUUAAAAAGCUCGUAGUUGGAUUUCGGAUGGGACUUGCCGGUCCGUCGUUUCGAUGUGCACUGGCCAGUCCUAUCUUGUUGUCGGGGACUAGCUCCUGGGCUUCACUGUCCGGGACUAGGAGCUGACGAGGUUACUUUGAGUAAAUUAGAGUGUUCAAAGCAAGCCUACGCUCUGAAUACAUUAGCAUGGAAUAACACGAUAGGACUCUGGCUUAUCUUGUUGGUCUGUGAGACCAGAGUAAUGAUUAAGAGGGACAGUCGGGGGCAUUCGUAUUUCAUUGUCAGAGGUGAAAUUCUGGGAUUUAUGAAAGACGAACUUCUGCGAAAGCAUUUGUCAAGGAUGUUUUCAUUAA